rnacentral:tRNA from 1 species
GCCGAUGUGGCGGAAUUGGUAGACGCGCAGGUCUCAAAAACCUGUGAGGGCAACCUCAUAUCGGUUCGACUCCGAUCAUCGGCACCA